rnacentral:rRNA from 1 species
UACGGGGGGGGGCAAGCGUUGUUCGGAAUUACUGGGCGUAAAGGGCUCGUAGGCGGCCAACUAAGUCAGACGUGAAAUCCCUCGGCUUAACCGGGGAACUGCGUCUGAUACUGGAUGGCUUGAGGUUGGGAGAGGGAUGCGGGAUUCCAGGGUGUAGCGGUGAAAUGCGUAGAUAUCUGGAGGAACACCGGUGGCGAAGGCGGCAUCCUGGACCAAUUCUGACGCUGAGGAGCGAAAGCCAGGGGAGCAAACGGG